CUGUGGUAAUUCCAGAGCUAAUACAUGCAACCUGUAUACCCUGAUGGCGCCGCUUGAGUGCGCGUUCGCGCGCGCUCCUGCGUGUUUUUACUGCCUGACGGGUGCUUUUAUUANACCAAACAUCGCUGGUGGCGCAAGCCGCUAGGCUCGUGAAAUGGUGACUCUGGAUAACCUUCUGACAAGCGCACGUACUUCAUUAUUCAUGGAGACGGCGCUGCCACUUUCGAGUGUCUGCCUUAUCAGCUAUCAACCGUUCGUUAUGUGCGACCGAUGGCUUUGACGGGUAACGGGGAAUCAGGGUUCGAUUCCGGAGAGGCAGCCUGAGAAACGGCUACCACGUYCAAGGACGGCAGCAGGCACGCAAAUUACCCAAUCCCAGCACCUGGGGGAGGUAGUGACGAAAUCUAACGAUGCGGGCGCCCAUUCUGGGCCUCGCAAUCGGAAUGAGCAUUUUCUAAACAACCUGUUGAGAACCUACUGAAGGGCAAGUCUGGUGCCAGCAGCCGCGGUAAUUCCAGCUUCAGCAGCAUAUAUUAAAGUUGCUGCGGUUAAAAGGCUCGCAGUUGAAUGUCAGUGUUGGGCGACGGUAAGGUGGACGCUGGAGCAUGGGAACUAAGCGCGCCAGUGUGCAGCUCGCGCGUGGUGUGUGGCCCGUGGCGUAGCGCCGUAACAAGCGCGAAACCCUCGCCCUGCCGCGCGUGUCUCUCGCUGGCGUCUCUCACAAGCUCCCGUCUGUUACAAGCCUCCUCGCUCCAGUACAUGGGCGGUAACGACUCUCCUCGGAUUGCGCGAGCGCGCUCUUUUCUCCUAGCCUCGCGAAAGCCGUCUCUUCCCGUCGUGCACGCGUGUGUAUCUCACGCGCGCGUGCCUGGGAGUUUCGGUGUCUGUAGCUUGGCGCUCACGGGGAGGCGCGUCUUCGUGCCGAGGAGUGGGACGCGGUCAAAAGACGAUGAUGUUGUUAUAUGUUGUUGUGCGCGCGGGCCAGAGUGCUUGUCCGAGGCGCGGGUGUGCUGUGUGUGCGUCAGUGGCACUGUCACGCGCACGCUCUUGCGCGCUCGCGCUCUCCCUCGCACGUCUCCCGCGUGGCGCGCGUCCCUGUCUGUGUGUUGCUGCAUUGUCACCUUGAGUAAAUCGGAGUGCUCAAAGCAGUCGUAAAGGGCCUCGGCCCUGUGAUAAGUCUUGACGGACUGUCUUGAUUUUGCAUGGUAUGUCGGAAAACGACGUCGAGUGCUGGCUCAGAGUCUAUAGAAGUGGUUUCAAGCCAAAGCCUCGACGUAAUGAUUAAAAGGAACGGUCGAGGGCAUUGGUAUUGCGAGGCGAGAGGUGAAAUUCUAUGACCCCCGCAAGACCGCCUGAAGCGAAAGCGUCUGCCAAGGACGUUUUCAUUAAUCAUGAACGAAAGUUAGAGGAUCGAAGGCGAUCAGAUACCGCCCUAGUUCUGACCCUAAACGAUGCCAACCAUCAAUCCGCGUGAGCACCCUUUUUGACGGGCUCGGCGGGCAGCUCUCUUUUCACGGGAAACCAGAGUCUCUGGGUUCCGGGGGGAGUCUGGUUGCAAAGCUGAAACUUAAAGGAAUUGACGGAAAGGCACCACCAGGAGUGGAGCCUGCGGCUUAAUUUGACUCAACACGGGCCAUCUCACCAGGCCAGAACUCUAGCACGAUUGACAGAUUGAGAGCUCUUUCUCGAUUGAGUGGAUGGUGGUGCAUGGCCGUUCUUAGUUGGUGGAGUGAUCUGUCUGGUUAAUUCCGAUAACGAACGAGACUCUCCCCUGCUAACUAGUCGGUUGGAUCUUGUGUUUCGAUGCGAGUCGUGCGCCGGGUUUUCCUUCGCCUCGCGGCAGCGGUGCGAGUUUUUCCGGUCUCGCGCUGGGUGUGUGCGCGUGUGCGUGCUCUUUGUCUUGGGUUGCUUCUCGCGUGGUGGCGAUUUCUUCGUCGCUGCGCAGGGCGCCUGGGCGGGAGCGCGCGUGCGUGUGUGCGCUUUGGCGUUGCUGGCCGGGCUCUGCCGUUCUCGCUGCUUGGCGUGUCUGGUUUUCCCGGGUCGUACACUCCAAGUCCGCCGCUUAUGCUAUAAAACUCUUCUUAGAGGGAUCAACGGCUCUGAAGCCGUACGAGACUGAGAGCAAUAACAGGUCUGUGAUGCCCUUAGAUGUUCUGGGCCGCACGCGCGCUACAAUGCCGGGCACAGCAGGUGUUUUCCCUACUCCGAAAGGAGCGGGCAACCCUCUGAAAGCCCCAUCUCGUAUAUCAAAUGUAUCGGCCGGCGGGCACACAAAAGCUCGUCGGUCGUGUGUGUGUUGGCGUGCUUGGGCCUGGGGCUUGCAAUUCUUUCCCACAAACGAGGAAUGCCUAGUAGCG
rnacentral:rRNA from 1 species